CCUACGUGACCAGGUUCAGACACAGUCUGCAGCCGCCCGCCUCGCACCCCCACUCUGCAGUGCGGUAUGUGGGGAGCUCAGGGCACAGCAGGCCAGGCCUCCCCGUGGACGUCCAGGAACCAGAACCAAACUGCCCAGGGCCCCAGAGGGGAAGAUGUCUCAGCAGACGGACAGCCGAGGCUCACAUGGCAAGCUCUGGCAGCCUGUCGGUCCCAGGAGAGAGGGGGAGAUGGCAGACGGGAAAAGAAGCCACCUGCUGGGAUGCUGAGACUCGCUUGCAGGAGCUUUUGGAACUGGCUGAGGUCACAGCUGGAACCACUGUGGCCAGCUGGAGUCUGCACAGCCCGAGUUUCCACCCCAGGGUCCCAGUAACUCCGCCCAAAUGUGCACACGAGACCUAUGAGGAGACAUAACUUUCCAGAACCCCCUUUUCUUCCACCAGCCACUUACUCAUCCAAGAACCCACCCCCGAACCUUCCCUAAUAGAAACACUGCAUUAAAGCCAGCGCGGGGAGACAGACGUGAACUGCGCCCCUGUCUCCUUGUGGGUUGGCCUAGAAUAAAAGCUUUUCUUUUCUCAAAAA
rnacentral:lncRNA from 1 species